AACUAUUAUAAGCUAUAAAGGUAAGAAGAAGGCAUAUACUAAUGAUGCGGUUCAUGCUGCUCUACAAGUGAUAAUGUCUCUUCUUCUUAGAACUGAUGGAUUUUGAACAAAGAUGUGUUUGUGAAGUUGGUGUAUUCACUGGUAAGGUCCAUAGAACUCGAAUUUGUGGAGAAAAUGGACCGUAAUGGUAUAAAAGUACUUAGUUUAUUAUAUAGCUUGUAAUCCAAACCUUUCAAGAAAUAAUUACGUGGCCUGGUGUUUGUCGAUAGAUUUAAUAAACUUUUGUGCUAAAUAGGUGCCAUGUGUCUUAUUGUUUCAUCUUACACAAGAUAAUUUCCCGGUGGACACACUUGUGAGUAUUGCACUUUCCCAAGUCCUUUCUUUUUGGGUGCAAAUUUAACAUUUUAAGCACUUUCUUAGGUGUUCUUAAUUGCUAAGAGCAUUGGAUACAAGGGGCAUAUCAUCAUGUCAAUCGCCACAUCAUAGACAACCUAAAAUUUGAAUUAAGAUGUCCCUUGUUCACUCCUGGUGCAAAUGAUGAAGAUUUUGUCUGCUCAAUACUCCUAUUAAGUUUCUUCUUCCAGGUAUUUAAACUAAAGGUGGGAGAAGAAGAGCACGACAUUUGGCGAGUCUCAUUAAUAGACUAUACUCGAAGAUGAGAUUGUGAGUCCAAUCCUAAUGGUCAGACCAGACCUGCAGUUUUGCGAGAUGUUCUUCAUCAUUGUUCCAGUUUGCAGUUGUAUUAUUUCAUGCUGUUGCCUGAACAGGCAUGAUUACACAAGGUUGAGAAUAUUUGGUAGCAUUUGCAAAUAUUUUUUCACCUUCUGAUGUACAGUAAUUUUCCUUUUGCAUUUGCACGCUGGGCAGAAAUGGGGAAUAAUAUGA